rnacentral:rRNA from 1 species
UACGAGGGAUCCUAGCGUUGUUCGGAAUCAUUGGGCGUAAAGGGCGCGUAGGUGGCCCGGUCAGUUCGUGGUGAAAGCGCGGGCUCAACUCCGCGUCGGCCAUGAAUACUGCUGGGCUUGAGCACUGUAGAGGCAGGCGGAAUUCCGGGUGUAGCGGUGGAAUGCGUAGAGAUCCGGAAGAACACCGGUGGCGAAGGCGGCCUGCUGGCAGUAGCUGGACACUGAGGCGCGACAGCGUGGGGAGCAACAGG